rnacentral:lncRNA from 1 species
GUUUUGAUAUGUGCAUAAUUUUAAUUUACUAUACUAUAUUAUAUACACUAUGCAUUCAAUCAUUGACGAACAGUCCCAAACCGACUAUACUGUUCUGCACAAGUUUAUCAUGCAUGCAGUCCUGCCAUAUACUGUGUUCCUUGCGCACUAAAUCAAGUUUUCACACUUAAGCAUCCAUAACAUAGCAGUGAGAUUUGUAACUUUCUACCCGUUUCUGGUAAGCACAUUUAUUUUCCUAGGCAUGUUUUUCACAUUAUAUUUACAGUUCAAAUUCAUUUUUUUUACAGUUCAAAUUCAUCUUUUUUACAGUUCGAAUUCAAUUGAAACUUCAAGAUAACUUUCGAAAACAAUACAUGUAUCUGACAGUUUUGUAUUUUCAAUGUGAAUAAAAGUUGGUUUGCAAAACAUCACCGUCAUUUAUAUCUAGGUCUUAUUUAGAAGAAGUGACGGUAACCACUUAUCCCAUAUACAUUGACAAUGAGACAACUUUCUUUUAGACACAAAAAUGAUGUUGAAUUAAUCAAGUUUAGGUCACCGUAUGCCUUAAACAAGGAGAAAAACACACAAACCGCAUGAAAGCAAGCUAUAACUGGGUCCUAAAUUAUAAAUGUAAAACAAUUCAAACAAGAAAACUACCUGCCUAUUUUAUGUUCAAAACGCAUAUGGUAUAAAGCAAUCAAAGACAACCAUGGAAUUACAAGCCUGUGACUCGGGAAAUGGACUGAGUCAAAGUGUUGUCGCUGACACAAACAGUACAACAAAAGUACAAAUAAUAAAAAAUGAUGAAUAAACCUUAACUCGUCCUUUGACAGAGCCUGUAUAGUAAAUUCGCGAUUUGUGCCAAAACUUGUAUCAUAGUUAAAAUUAUCCAUUAAAUAUGAUAAAUAUACAUGUAUUCGCAGUUUACUAUGAAAUCCACUAUCACUGAACUAGUAUACAUAUUUAUUAAGGGGCCAGCUAAAGGACACCACCGGAUGCGGGAGUUUCUCGCUUCAUUGAAGACCCAUUGAGGCCUUCGGCUGUUUUCUGCUCUAUGGUCGGGUUGUUGUCGCUUGGAAUUUGUAUGAACUUUUCAUGUUUAAAUCCCCCCCUUUUUUGUUUUUGUUUUACCAUAUAUGUUUUCUUAUAUAACUAAGAAGUGUAUAAAGUUUGAUGCAGUUAUAAUACUUCGUUUUUGAGAUAUGGCGCGACAUGUUAAAAAAAAACACAUUCCUGUUUCACUUACAUUUUCUGUAACUCAAAAAGAUUUAAUUUGAUUUUCACUAAAAGGUUUACAGAUCGUUUGGCCAUUAUAAGAAAUAACUAUGUUAAAUUUUAAGAAAAUGAGAUAAGCUGUCCUGAAGUUACGGUGCGACAUGUUCAUAGUGGACAGACGGAUAGAUAGACGGACGGACGGACAGAAUGACUGAUAGACGGAGGAACGGACGGAUGGAAGGAGGGGGUGUAUACAAUAAUACGGCCUGUCAAAAUUGGGAUGGGCGUGUAAAAACGCAAAGAAAUGAAAAAAAAAUCGUAAUUAAGGUCAAUAAGUUUUAUUAGGAUAUCGGCCAAGUCGAUUUAUUUGUAUAUUUGUCUGCCUUAUCAUUUUCCUAUAUAACUUUUACAUAUAUUUGAAAAAAAAUGUAUAGAAAUCGAUAAAAAGAACUUGAUAUUCGGCAUUUAUUAUGAGAAACAUAAUCCAAAUGACAUAAUCCGAUUGCCCGGGUGUCCCUGUUUUCUCAUUUCUUAAAAUAUUUUAAUUCGGUAUACACUUUAUAAGAUAAGUGGCGAAUCUAGAUGACGUAUAUGUUGCACGCCCCGACCCCACCUUUGGUUGCAAAAAUUUUAUUGAUUCCUGUAUUUAAAGAUUUUGUAAAGCAAAAAAUAAUCAAAAUAUUGUUCGACUCGCUACGCUCGGCGGUAUGUAAAAGUGUUUCGAAUACGCCCACUUUGAAAUAAACUGAAUCCGUCUGUCCGUAUAUAUUGUCAAAAUAUAUUGUCCAACAUCAGUGUACGAUCAUCAUAACACAAUGGCGACAGUGCAGACUGUUUUUUUUUUAAUAAUGUUAACAAAAUAUUUAUUAUUGAAUUUUAUCGAUGACCUGAGACUAUUAUACUUAUUUGUACAUAGCAGUAUAGUGAUAAAUAAAUUUUAUUUUAAUGCAUGGUAGUUGUAAUCCUACAUUCAUUUUCUAUGUCGAUUAUGCAUGCAUAUACAUUUGUCUUAUUAUCGACGUUUAUCCUUAAGAAGAUUUAUUUUUAACGAUGGUAGAAAAGAUUACAUACAUGGAAUGAUUAGAUUACUUAUAAAGGUGUCCAUUCUUUUGUGCGAGAAAAUCAC